AGCCUGCGAAGGUAAGCAAAUCCCAAAAAUAACGUCCCAGUUCGGACUGCAGUCUGCAACUCGACUACAUGCAGCUGGAAUCGCUAGUAAUCGCGGAUCAGCACGCCGCGGUGAAUACGUUCCCGGGCCUUGUACACACCGCCCGUCACACCAUGGGAGUCGGUAACACCCGAAGUCGGUAGUCUAACCGAAAGGAGGACGCCGCCGAAGGUGGGAUUGAUGACUGGGGUGAAGUCGUAACAAGGUAAC
rnacentral:rRNA from 1 species